CUUGCCAAUUGCCACAUCCUGGUCAAAAUUUGAUGGUGCCACCAGCCAUCCAAGCUAGUCUUCCUUCUUUUUCUAAUCGUCACUUGACCAAACCAAGUUCACCAUGCAACAUGCAACUCAGUUCUCUAGCCCACCGAACAUCUCGCAUGACAUCCAUGACCGAUAGGACCUCAGUUCCUCCCUGAACUUAGUCCCGAAACCUCAGUUCCUCCUUGAACCUAGUUCCAGUCCGUCAUCGACCACGUUCUGCCUCAAGCUAACACCUGCACAUGAACAAACAAGCGACAAGUACGAGCCCAAGUCCAAGACUUGACUCAAGUCAAUCCGCACAACACCUCACACGAGCAUGUCAUGCAACAAUUCCAAAUCACCUGCUAUCACAACC
rnacentral:lncRNA from 1 species